rnacentral:rRNA from 1 species
GAUGAACGCUGGCGGCGUGCCUAAUACAUGCAAGUCGAGCGAACAGACGAGGAGCUUGCUCCUCUGACGUUAGCGGCGGACGGGUGAGUAACACGUGGAUAACCUACCUAUAAUACUGGUAUAACUUCGGGAAACCGGAGCUAAUACCGGAUAAUAUAUUGAACCGCAUGGUUCAAUAGUGAAAGACGGUUUUGCUGUCACUUAUAGAUGGAUCCGCGCCGCAUUAGCUAGUUGGUAAGGUAACGGCUUACCAAGGCAACGAUGCGUAGCCGACCUGAGAGGGGGAUCGGCCACACUGGAACUGAGACACGGUCCAGACGACUACGGGAGGCAGCAGUAGGGAAUCUGCCGCAAUGGGCGAAAGCCUGACGGAGCAACGCCGCGUGAGUGAUGAAGGUCUUCGGAUCGUAAAACUCUGUUAUUAGGGAAGAACAAAUGUGUAAGUAACUAUGCACGUAUUGACGGUACCUAAUCAGAAAGCCACGGCUAACUACGUG